rnacentral:lncRNA from 1 species
UAUGGAUAAAGUUGUUUUACGAUGAAAAUAAUGAGUUCUAAUUAUAGGGAACUCAUAAAAUCCUAGUUGGCUAAGAAAUAAUGACUGAAAAUUACAAUAGAUUGGUAAAUAUGGAGUUUUAACAUAAUUAGAAGAUUUCAUGAAUUUUGGAAAAUUUGCGUCACCGCAUGAACUAUGUGUCCGCGUAGUGUUAUCCUAUGCGGUCGCAUAGGCCAUGUUCCAAAUGGCUCAUUGGCCACAGUGUUGGUUGCAUGCCUCUUUCAACUAUGCAAUUGCAUAGUUGAGGCCCUCAGCUCCUUCUUCCAUUACUUGAACUCGUUGGCCCAUUUCAUGUCUUCUUUCGAGCUUAACAUGAAACAUGUUGAUUUUCUUGCCAUGAUCAUUGUUUCGUCCACUGUAGUUUGAGCAAGUAAUCUCAUCGCUUGUUUAAUCCUCUUCACUCGUGACCUAGUCAUGGGCACUUCUUCAACGAUCAACGGAUCCUCGCUUGGAUUUGCUUUUCUGCUAUGGAUAGCAUCAUCCCC